GGAUGUCGUGGAGGGCAAUCUGGCUGCCAUCUAUUAUAUCUAUCACCUAUUGAUUUUUCUGAGUUGGUUCUGCUUAUCUGACUUGCUAGGUGGGUCCCUUUUUCUCUCAGCUGUCCAUCUACAUCCUCCCACAACUCAGUCAAAAAGGGUGACCUUCCCAUUAGAGAAGAAAUCACCUUCAGGCAAGGGAACUGAAGUUGUCGAACUCCCUGAGGAUAAUUAUGAAACCAGCUCUGCUUGUGGACGGUAAACAAUUUCCUUUAAUU
rnacentral:sRNA from 1 species